AAAAAAAACCCGGGCACAUUUCAUUUCAUUUCCCUCUCUUUCCCUCUUUUCUCCCUCGCCCUUCCUCGAUCUCUCCGCGCGCCCUUCAUUUCCCUCUUCUCUCGCUCUCCCUUCCUCGAUCUCUCCGCGCGCCCUUCAUUUCCCUCUCUUUCCCUCUCUUCUCGCUCUUCCUUCUUCAAUUUCUCUUCCAUCUUGCUUCUCCAUCUCUCUCUCUCUCUCUCUCUCUCUCUCUCUCUCUCUAUCUCGCGCCUCUCCCUCUCCCUUCCUUGAUCUCCUUGAUUUCCCUCCCUCUCUCUUAAUGUCUCUCUCCCUCGUUCUCUUCGACGCACAGUUUCAUCAAUCUUUCUCCAAGAGUUGAAGAUAAUAGAAGAAAUCAGAGGAGGAAGUCGAAGGGUUUGGGACCCUACUCUGCCAAUAGAAAGAAAGUGGAGAAGGAAAUCAAGGAAAUGGCCGAGAAGGUCAAUUACUCUGUGGGUAUAUUUUCCUUGCAAUUAUCAAGCAGCCACUAUUUUUUUUUUUUUAUAGAUACCACUCCAGGCGUACUUUUCCAACCCCACUUAGUUGGGAUAAGGCUUAGACGAUGAUGAUGAAUCCAGGUACACUUUCUUGCAUGUAUGU